rnacentral:rRNA from 1 species
AUUCCAAUCGAACUCGGAGAUAGCUGGUUCUCCCCGAAAUAGCUUUAGGGCUAGCCUCAUGUUAGAUAUCCGGAGGUAAAGCACUGAAUGGCCUAGCGUCCGAGAGGAUAGCGAAGCCUAUCAAACUAAGAAUGCCGGAAUAUUGAUGCAUGGGAGUCAGACAGUGUGAGAUAAAUCUCAUUGUCAAAAGGGAAACAGCCCAGAUCUACAGCUAAGGUCCCAAAUUGUAUCUAAGUGGAAAACGAUGUGGAAAUACGCAGACAACCAGGAUGUUGGCUCAGAAGCAGCCACUCAUUUAAAGAGUGCGUAAUAGCUCACUGGUCGAGCGUCUCUGCGCGGAAAAUUUAACGGGGCUAAGAUACAAACCGAAGCUUAGGCUGCACUUUUAGUGCGGGGUAGGGGAGCGUUGUGUAAGCGGAGAAACAGUAGCGGAAGCGGCUGUGGAGUUUACAGAAGUGAGAAUGCCGGAAUGAGUAGCGCGAAUGAUGUGAGAAUCAUCAUGGCCGGAAACCUCAGGUUUUUGGAGGAAGGUUCGUCCGCUCCAAGUUAGGCGGGAGCUAAGGUGAGGCCGAAAGGCGUAGCCGAUGCACAGACGGUAGAGAUUCCGUCCCCACCGAAAGAUUUAAGCGCAGGGACACUUUUAGAAGGUCGGAGCCAGGUGUUGGUUCUGGUAGAGAUCGAGGGAAGAUUAGUACCGAAGUCCGGCUGGAUAAGAGGCGAGAAAAGCUGCGUGUAUAUCUAAGGUGCCCGUACCGCAAACCGACACAGGUAGGUAGGAAGAAGAUUCUAAGGCCAACGGGAGAAGGGUUGUUAAGGAACUCGGCAAGUUGACCCCGUAACUUCGGAAUAAGGGGUGCUCACGAGAGUGAGCCGCAGAGAAUAGGCCCAGGCAACUGUUUACCAAAAACACAGGUUUGUGCUAAAUCGAAAGAUGACGUAUACGAGCUGACGCCUGCCCGGUGCUGGAAGGUUAAAAGGAGAUGUGCAAGCAUUGAAUUGAAGCCCCAGUGAACGGCGGCCGUAACUAUAACGGUCCUAAGGUAGCGAAAUUCCUUGUCAGGUAAGUUCUGACCCGCAUGAAAGGCGUAAUGAUCUGGGCACUGUCUCAACAGCCCGCCCGGCGAAAUUGUAGUACCGGUGAAGAUGCCGGUUACCCGCGACAAGACGGAAAGACCCCAUGGAGCUUUACUGUAGCCUGAUAUUGGGUUUCGGUGUUGCAUGCACAGGAUAGAUGGGACGCUGGGAAAGAGUCGCUUUGGCGAUUCUGGAGCGGACGUUGGGAUACCAUCCUUGCGACAUUGGAAUUCUAACCUGCGCCUCUGAAUCGAGGCGGGGGACAUUGUCAGGUGGGCAGUUUGACUGGGGCGGUCGCCUCCUAAAAAGUAGCGGAGGCGUUCAAAGGUUCGUUCGAUCUGGACGGAAACCAGAUGAUUGAGUGCAAACGCAUAAACGAGCCUGACUGCGAGACUGACGGGUCGAGCAGAGACGAAAGUCGGAGUUAGUGAUC